rnacentral:rRNA from 1 species
AGUGAACGCUGGCGGUAGGCCUAACACAUGCAAGUCGAACGGCAGCACAGUAAGAGCUUGCUCUUACGGGUGGCGAGUGGCGGACGGGUGAGGAAUACAUCGGAAUCUACUUUUUCGUGGGGGAUAACGUAGGGAAACUUACGCUAAUACCGCAUACGACCUACGGGUGAAAGCAGGGGAUCUUCGGACCUUGCGCGAUUGAAUGAGCCGAUGUCGGAUUAGCUAGUUGGCGGGGUAAAGGCCCACCAAGGCGACGAUCCGUAGCUGGUCUGAGAGGAUGAUCAGCCACACUGGAACUGAGACACGGUCCAGACUCCGACGGGAGGCAGCAGUGGGGAAUAUUGGACAAUGGGCGAAAGCCUGAUCCAGCCAUACCGCGGGGGUGAAGAAGGCCUUCGGGUUGUAAAGCCCUUUUGUUGGGAAAGAAAAGCAGCAGGUUAAUACCCCGCUGUUCUGACGGUACCCAAAGAAUAAGCACCGGCUAACUUCGUG